UGAUAGCGAUGAAGCGUGAGGUUGCUGCAUGAAAAUUGCAGGUUUUCCGUGGAGCGAAUGUCAAGUUAAGAAACUGGCGACAA
rnacentral:ncRNA from 1 species